GGGGAUGUAGCUCAAACGGUAGAGCGCCGCUUUGCAUGCGAGAGGUACGGGGUUCGGUACCCCGCAUCUCCA
rfam:Gossypium raimondii Chr12_contig_498, whole genome shotgun sequence.